GACGGAAGGUGCAAGCGUUGCUCGGAAUCACUGGGCGUAAAGGGUGCGUAGGCGGCCGUGCAAGUCUGGCGUGAAAGCCCCGGGCUCAGCCCGGGAAGUGCGCUCGAAACUGCGCGGCUCGAGUGCCGGAGGGGAGAGUGGAAUUCCUGGUGUAGCGGUGAAAUGCGUAGAUAUCAGGAGGAACACCGGUGGCGAAGGCGGAUCUCUGGGCCUUGCCUGACGCUGAGGCGCGAAAGCUAGGGGAGCGAACAGG
rnacentral:rRNA from 1 species